UACACUAAAUAUAUUUCACUUAGCCUAAAUCAUUGACAAAUUAACGAAACGAAAAAACAAAAAUUAUGAAUUAGGCCUACCGUUCAUUGUGACGCGUUCCAAAGUUAUCUAAAAGGAAAUGGCAGAAAUUAGUUUUAUUUAUUUUGCAAAAGCUUUACAGUUUUAUUUAUUUUACAGCUUUAUUUGUUUUGCAAAAGCUUGACAGUUUUGAAUGAUAUCUUGCAUCUGUAUAACCAACCAGCGUUCGCGCUGGCGCCUCACGCGCACAAAGACACAACAUAUUUUUGCGACAUUGCAGCCAGUUAAAGAAACAUAUAAAAGGUUAAAGUGCUCCGUUGUCCAAUCUGUUGUUCCGCGUGACCACCGCCUCACUGUGCUGAUAUAGGCUAGCUAGCCGAUGUGAAGGAUAAUGUUUUAUGUCGAUGAAAGUACAAAGCCUAUAAUAAAUAAUAUUUUAGCAUUAGAUACAUCGCGAAUAUGGAAACAUUUGGAUUCGUGCCGAAUGAGAGAGAGAGAGUCCCUAUAUUCAUUGAACAACAUGAACAUUCUUCAGAAUUCCUCCUUUUUUGCCAACAAACAAGAGGGGUGUGGCCAAAGGUUUCAUUGGUGCUUUGUCAUCAUUGCAAGAUUUCAGAUGCAACCCAGUCAGUUCUUCCAAGGCACCAAACACACGUGACCAGACUGCUCCACUGCAACUACAUACUGUGUGUGUACUUUCAAGACUAGGAGUUUAUUGUUUUCAUCCCAGGUAAUAUGUGUAAAUGUUUAAGAGUUUUUACUACAAUUAUUAUGUGCUUUACUGUUCUCAGUGGCAUCUACACUAAUAUUAGUCUGUUUCAUUCUUAUUCCGAGGUGAAUGUAGCCACCCAGAUCCAGUCCAUAUCCAGACCAGAGAGUGGAUCAGCACCUAAAGACAACCUCGACAGCCCUGAAUGUCAGCGGAGAUCAUGACAGCUAGAUGAGCUCCAGAGACAGAUCCCCUCCGAAGACCUCAUUGGCCAUCGGGACAAGACCACGAGAACCAGACAAGUCCUCUGCUCAAUCUGACCUGUGUUGCAGCCUAGAAUUAAACCACUCCAUGCUGGCUUCGUAUGGCCAGAGGAGAACUGCAAAAUUUCCGACUGUGCCUGGUUGCUCCCAAGAUUUUCUACUCAAUUUCUGUCGCCGAUGGAUUUUUGGGUCCCUACCGCUGUCGCCUUUGGCUUGCUUUUUGGUUACGCUUGGCUGAUUGCACAGACAUUAUUGGAAGAGAGCUGAACUGGAUGAUGUCAACACUGAAUCACCAAUGAACUGACUUUAACUGAAAAAAUGACUUGUUAAUGUCCUCUUGCAUUAUUGACCAAUUAUUUUCCUGUUUGACUCUGUAAAGCUACUUUGACACAAUCAGUAUUGUAUAAAGCGCUAUGUAAAUAAAGGUGACUUGAUUUGAUUUUAUAUACUGUAACACUUACAUGUAUGUACUAUAACACCUGAUUCAUUUUUUUUUUUUUUUUUUACUUCUGCCUCAUUUUAAAGAUGUAAUUGUGAACAGUAAUAAUAUUUGUAAAUGUUUGUUUGCUAACAUUUUGUUUAGCUUGUUUAGUUUUUCUUAGUUCAUUAAACAAAUUUAAACUGAAUUUUGCAGUUGUAUUACAGAUGUAAUGUUUGUCAACUG